rnacentral:rRNA from 1 species
CGGCUAACUACGUGCCAGCAGCCGCGGUAAUACGUAGGAAGCAAGCGUUAUCCGGAUUUAUUGGGCGUAAAGUGAGCGUAGGUGGUCUUUCAAGUUGGAUGUGAAAUUUCCCGGCUUAACCGGGACGAGUCAUUCAGUACUGUUGGACUAGAGUACAGCAGGAGAAAACGAAUUCCCGGUGUAGUGGUAAAAUGCGUAGAUAUCGGGAGGAACACCAGAGGCGAAGGCGGUUUUCUAGGUUGUCACUGACACUGAGGCUCGAAAGCGUGGGGAGCGAACAGAAUUAGAUACUCCGGUAGUCCACGCCUUAAACUAUGGACACUAGGUAUAGGGAGUAUCGACCCUCUCUGUGCCGAAGCUAACGCUUUAAGUGUCCCGCCUGGGGAGUACGGUCGCAAGGCUAAAACUCAAAGGAAUUGACGGGGGCCCGCACAAGCAGCGGAGCGUGUGGUUUAAUUCGAUGCUACACGAAGAACCUUACCAAGAUUUGACAUGCAUGUAGUAGUGAACUGAAAGGGGAACGACCUGUUAAGUCAGGAACUUGCACAGGUGCUGCAUGGCUGUCGUCAGCUCGUGCCGUGAGGUGUUUGGUUAAGUCCUGCAACGAGCGCAACCCUUGUUGCUAGUUAAAUUUUCUAGCGAGACUGCCCCGCGAAACGGGGAGGAAGGUGGGGAUGACGUCAAGUCAGCAUGGCCUUUAUAUCUUGGGCUACACACACGCUACAAUGGACAGAACAAUAGGUUGCAACAGUGCGAACUGGAGCUAAUCCCCAAAGCUGUCCUCAGUUCGGAUUGCAGGCUGAAACCCGCCUGCAUGAAGUUGGAGUUGCUAGUAACCGCAUAUCAGCAUGGUGCGGUGAAUACGUUCUCGGGCCUUGUACACACCGCCCGUCACGUCAUGAAAGCCGGUAACACUUGAAGUCGAUGUGCCAACCGCAAGGAGGCAGUCGCCGAGGGUGGGACUGGUAAUUGGGACGAAGUCGUAACAAGGUA